UACGGGGGGGGCAAGCGUUGUUCGGAAUUACUGGGCGUAAAGGGCUUGUAGGUGGCCAACUAAGUCAAACGUGAAAUCCCUCGGCUUAACCGGGGAACUGCGUCUGAUACUGGAUGGCUCGAGUGUGGGAGAGGGAUGCGGAAUUCCAGGUGUAGCGGUGAAAUGCGUAGAUAUCAGGAGGAACACCGAUGGCGAAGGCAGGUCUCUGGGCCGAUACUGACGCUGAGGAGCGAAAGCGUGGGGAGCGAACAGG
rnacentral:rRNA from 1 species